GGGGAGAUUAGAGAAGAGGGUGAAGACCUUGAUUUCCUCAAUUUUGUGACUUAGCGAGGCUAAUGCAUCAGCUGGCUUGUUAGCCUCUCUAAAACAGUGGACGAUACUAAAUUUAUGGUCCUCAAUCAUCUUUUGAAUCUCCUGUACCUGGUUGUUGAUUUUUCAAGGGGGUUUUCACUCUCUUUUUACAGUUUUGGAUAAAAGUAAGGAGUCUGUUUCUCCAAUAGCC
rnacentral:lncRNA from 1 species